UACGUAGGGUGCGAGCGUUGUCCGGAAUUACUGGGCGUAAAGAGCUCGUAGGUGGUUUGUCGCGUUGUCCGUGAAAACUCACAACUCAAUUGUGGGCGUGCGGGCGAUACGGGCUGACUGGAGUACUGCAGGGGAGACUGGAAUUCCUGGUGUAGCGGUGGAAUGCGCAGAUAUCGGGAGGAACACCGGUGGCGAAGGCGGGUCUCUGGGCAGUAACUGACGCUGAGGAGCGAAAGCGUGGGUAGCAAACAGG
rnacentral:rRNA from 1 species